rnacentral:misc_RNA from 1 species
UGAUGUUUAUAGCUUUGGGGUGGUCCUUCUGGAACUUUUGACUGGGAGGAAACCUGUUGAUCACACAAUGCCACGAGGACAACAGAGUCUUGUCACUUGGGCUACUCCAAGACUGAGUGAAGACAAAGUUAAACAAUGCGUAGAUCCAAAGCUGAAGGGAGAUUAUCCUCCUAAAGGUGUGGCCAAGUUGGCAGCUGUGGCUGCAUUAUGUGUGCAAUAUGAAGCUGAGUUCAGGCCUAAUAUGAGCAUCGUUGUGAAGGCACUCCAACCGCUUUUGAAGGCCCCAGCUCCUCAUCCUCCUCCUUCAGCAAGCUAAAAGCAAAGAAACAGUUACACCUUGAGUUGGAAAAUCUACAACUUGUGCGCAGUUUGGUUACUUUGCUUGCGGAUUCUUCUAAAUAUAUUUUUUGAUUGUUAGUAAAUGGGAUUGGAUGUGCAGGUUGGGGUUGGGAUUGGGCUGUUUAACAUCACUGAUGUAUCCUGUGUUGAAUACUGAU